rnacentral:rRNA from 1 species
GAUGAACGCUAGCGGGAGGCCUAACACAUGCAAGCCGAGCGGUAUUUGUUCUUCGGAACAGAGAGAGCGGCGCACGGGUGCGGAACACGUGUGCAACCUGCCUUUAUCUGGGGGAUAGCCUUUCGAAAGGAAGAUUAAUACCCCAUAAUAUAUUGAGUGGCAUCACUUGAUAUUGAAAACUCCGGUGGAUAGAGAUGGGCACGCGCAAGAUUAGAUAGUUGGUGAGGUAACGGCUCACCAAGUCAAUGAUCUUUAGGGGGCCUGAGAGGGUGAUCCCCCACACUGGUACUGAGACACGGACCAGACUCCUACGGGAGGCAGCAGUGAGGAAUAUUGGACAAUGGGUUAGCGCCUGAUCCAGCCAUCCCGCGUGAAGGACGACGGCCCUAUGGGUUGUAAACUUCUUUUGUAUAGGGAUAAACCUACUCUCGUGAGAGUAGCUGAAGGUACUAUACGAAUAAGCACCGGCUAACUCCGU